rnacentral:pre_miRNA from 1 species
UGUUUAUGUACUUCGUCCCAAGAUUCUCGUCUUAGAUUUGUCUAAAUACAGAUGUAUCAAGUCACGUUUUAGUAUUAGGUACAUCCGUAUCUAGACAAAUCUAAGACAAGAAUUAGGUACAUCCGUAUCUAGAUAAAUAUAAGACAAGAAUUUUGGAACGGAGUACUUAAUAA